CACAACACAAUCAAGACGCCUAUCUCAGUGUUUCUUUCCCAUUUUUUUGCACAUACAGAGUUCUACAAUUGUGCCAAAACAUGAUUACCAUUCGUACCAUCUGAAUGUAAAGUUUGUUAAAUGUUAAAAAGCUGCUUGUUUGUAUAGUUUAUACAAUAAACACCCAACAUUCAACUACUUCCACGUUGGAUACCACAUUGGCAUUUUUGAUAGAAAGCUAACAUCAUUAAGGUCACAAAAGAACAGAUACUGAGCAAAAAAGCCAUCAUGGGAUGCCAAAAAUGACUCCCUAACUACAGCUAUAUGAUAAUACAUGACUACGAUCACAGGCUAAUGCAUUCAGUAGCGGUUGAGUUUUGGUAUAGUAACAAAUAUGACAUCUGAGAAUAAACUCUUUAUCAGCAUCUUUCCAGCUCAAAUGGCAUAAAUCCACCAACCACAGAAAGUUGGAUGCAGAAUCUUUGUCCUCUAGCAUUGAAGUCUCUAUCAGAGAAAGCAUCCCACAACCCAAUAGCUGCAAAUGCAAGUUAGGCUACAAUCAAAAAAGUUCCUAUCCCAUUCCCCCUAGCGCAUAAGUGUCAUAAAAAUACAAUCACCGAUGAUAAGCAUCUUCACAUUUCCAUUUCAACUUUCAACCAAUACUAUUGCUCCAUGUAUCCUGUGCGUUCAUCAGUCACUAGAUCAUUUACCUCACUCCCACUAGUCAAAGCAUCAUCGACUUCCAAUGGUAAAACCUUCUCCCUCACUGAAUUUCCAGUAAGAUGACAUUUAACAAACUUAACUUGUUUAUCCCCUUCAUCCUUUCUCCCUUCUUUGCGUUUCCUCGUCCCAUUAGUUUCCAUUGCUUUCAGAACUCCAGGACCACCGAAGAACAUAGUGUCCUCAAAAUCAACCAUCUCUAGAUCACCAUCAACUUUAUCUGCCCCUUUACCCUCAUUAACACCAUAAGAGAAAUUAUUUUCCACCAAAUUCUUGCCAUCUGACUUAAUAACACAGAGCCCAUCCGACUUAAUUUUUGCACAGAUAUUGGAGAUGUCACCAUCAAAUACUCUUACACCUUGAUCCUCAAGAAUCAUUAGCCACUCUGGAAAUUAGAACACUUCAAGAAUCAGAUAAAUAUUAAUUCCAAAUGCUAGAAAAUAUCCGAAAAUGGAAAAGAGUUGCAAAAUGGGUGGCUCCUCUCUAAGUAGCUCCUACCCAAAUUUGUUCACUUAGCAAUGACAGUGGGACAUGUCUCACUAUAGAAGAUGGUGCCACAGUGUACUCAGAAGGACAGCUGGUCAAGUAAUUUAAUCCUCCACUUUAACAAAGAUACGACAGAGCCUCUCCAUAUCAUAACAUGCUUUCUGAGAAUCAUAAUCAGAAAAGACAGUGCAAAAGAUGCUAAACCUCUUACAAAUGAGGUGAAAAAACAUAAGCGUAGAGAUAAUUGAGGAACUCACUGAUAAGAGCUAGAGGAUUGGAAACUUUUGGUGUACUUGUUUUGCUCUGUAUGCCAGGCAGACUCAUAACCCACUUGAUCAAUUGAGAUGGUAGAAAAGAUGCAGAGAAAGCUUGUACAUAGGAAAAGACUUUGGUCUGGUUACCAUUUUCCCAGAGAAAUCGGAUGGCACAAUCAGCAACAAACAACCAUGCUGUAGCAAGAUUCUUUAAGCGUCCAUCAGGAAGAUGACUCCCUUUAUGAGGACCAAGGAAGGAAUGCUCUGCUAUUAUUGCAGUAUCAUACAGGAUUUCUCGCAAAAAAACUUCUUCUUCAGAAUUCAAUAAGGAGGUGACAGAUAAGACUGGCUCUAGGAGCAUCCUGAGAAUGGUGUCUGCCAUGAAAAAAACAGUUGAUCAGAAGGAAGCCAUAGUUAACAUCUGGGCUCUAGUGUAAAACAAUCGCAGGUCCUUUACAGUAUAAUCAUACAGUUUUUAAGGUGUACUAUAGUUAUACUAGGAAAGUAGAGAUUUGAUGACAUAGUAUAAUCAAGCUAUUUCAAACUAACAAAUAAAAAAUUUUAAUUUUUCUGGUUGAUAAAAUGACAAAAAUCAAUUCCCACCAACGAAGUGAUAACUUCGAAAUGCAGUUAUCGUCUGAACUGCGCAGCGGCGUAAUUCUGUCUCCAGCUCUGCCCUUGAAAUCCCCAAUCGAAAUUUCAAGCACAACAUCAAUAAGAAAGUUUCACUCAUGACAAUCCCAGCUACGUACCCAAUCUCACAUCCGUCACUACCCAUUAUCCCUUUACGAAUUUCAUCACUAACAAGAGGAAAAAAAACUCUCAACUCUUCACCUAACUUACAAUUCUCCCCAAUUUUUUCAACUAGCCAAACGCGUAUCAAAUCCAUAAAACAAGAAUUCAAAGCCUCAAAUUCAUCGUUUUCGUUAAAAUUGGUGCCAGAACAAAUGCUAAUAUAGCUAAAAAUCACUUCAAAUAAACUCUCAAUCUCUUUCGUGAAAAGUUUUCCCUCAGAAACUAAACUAUGCAGUUCAUAGAUGACUGGAGCAAGAACUGCAAUCUUCUUAACCGCAUUGCACGAAGAAGAGCAGGAAACCAGCAGUUGGAACAAGUCCUUAGCUACUACGACUUGGUUUGAAGAGUUUUCAGCGGUAAAUUUCGUGGAGCGUAAAGUCAAAGCGGCGUAAAACCAGACGAUUUCGAGCGGUGGAUCGGGCAGAUUUUGAAGAAAGCGGGAGAAUAUGGAGGUGAAAUUCGAAAAAUCGGUUGCGCCAUUUCGGUAUUCGAUUAAAAAUCGGUCAACGGAUUCUUUAAGCAUGGAUUGGAAAGCGUCUAGGUUUGGAUUGUAUGCGGUUCGGUUCAUGUUGAUAGCCAAAAUCGAAGGAAAAUGGAGCGAUUUUGGGGUAAAAUUGAUGAGUUUUGUAGCUUUGCAGCGUUUGCAGAAGGUUAGCGAGCAGCAAAUGGGAGAGUAUAAAACCCUAGGUAUGCGGGAUGGUGCAAGGACUGAGGAAUUGGAAAAGGAGAGGGAAGGUCGGGG
rnacentral:misc_RNA from 1 species